rnacentral:rRNA from 1 species
GGACUACUAGGGUUUCUAAUCCUGUUUGCUACCCACGCUUUCGUAGUUGAGUGUCAAUACUUGUCCAGGUCGCCGCCUUCGCCUCUGGUGUUCCUCCCGAUCUCUACGCAUUUCACCGCUACACCGGGAAUUCCACGACCCUCUCCAAGAUUCUAGUCUGACCGUUUCUAAGGCACUUCUUGAGUUAAGCUCAAGGCUUUCACCCCAGACAAAUCAGACCACCUACCUACCCUUUACGCCCAAUAAUUCCGAGCAACGCUUGCACCCCUCGUAUUACCGCGGCUGCUGGCAC